CCUGUCUAAAGGUAUAACCCUGUCUAAAGGUAUAACCCUGUCUAAAGGUAUAACCCUGUCCUGUCUAAAGGUAUAACCCUGUCUAAAGGUAUAACCCUGUCUAAAGGUAUAACCCUGUCUAAAGGUAUAACCCUGUCUAAAGGUAUAACCCUGUCUAAAGGUAUAACCCUGUCCUGUCUAAAGGUAUGACCCUGUCUAAAGGUAUAACCCUGUCUAAAGGUAUAACCCUGUCUAAAGGUAUAACCCUGUCCUGUCUAAAGGUAUAAAUAACCCUGUCUAAAGGUAUAACCCUGUCCUGUCUAAAGGUAUAACCCUGUCCUGUCUAAAGGUAUAACCCUGUCUAAAGGUAUAACCCUGUCUAAAGGUAUAAUCCUGUCUAAAGGUAUAAUCCUGUCUAAAGGUAUAACCCUGUCCUGUCUAAAGGUAUAACCCUGUCUAAAGGUAUAAUCCUGUCUAAAGGUAUAACCCUGUCUAAAGGUAUAACCCUGUCUAAAGGUAUAACCCUGUCUAAAGGUAUAACCCUGUCUAAAGGUAUAACCCUGUCUAAAGGUAUAACCCUGUCUAAAGGUAUAACCCUGUCUAAAGGUAUAACCCUGUCUAAAGGUAUAACCCUGUCUAAAGGUAUAACCCUGUCCUGUCUAAAGGUAUAGUCCUGUCUAAAGGUAUAACCCUGUCUAAAGGUAUAACCCUGUCUAAAGGUAUAACCCUGUCUAAAGGUAUAACCCUGUCUAAAGGUAUAACCCUGUCUAAAGGUAUAACCCUGUCUAAAGGUAU